rnacentral:rRNA from 1 species
ACUCAAAGGAAUUGACGGGGACCCGCACAAGCAGCGGAGCGUGUGGUUUAAUUCGAGGCUACGCGAAGAACCUUACCUGGGCUUGACAUAUAGGUGGUAGGGAUCCGAAAGGUGACCGACCCCUCGGGGAGCCUAUACAGGUGAUGCAUGGCUGUCGUCAGCUCGUGUCGUGAGAUGUCCGGUUAAGUCCGGUAACGAGCGCAACCCUUGCCGUAUGUUAUAUGUGUCAUGCGGAACUGCCGGUAUCAAGCCGGAGGAAGGUGGGGAUGACGUCAAGUCAGCAUGUCCUUUAUGUCCAGGGCUACACACACGCUACAAUGGCCGGUACAAUAGGUUGCAAAACCGCGAGGUGGAGCCAAUCCUCAAAGCCGGCCUCAGUUCGGAUUGUAGGCUGCAACUCGCCUACAUGAAGUUGGAGUUGCUAGUAACCGCGCGUCAGCACAGUGCGGUGAAUACGUUCCCGGGUCUUGUACACACCGCCCGU